CAACCAUAUCCCGUUCAAACAUCGGUUCUCGUACGAUCAACGAAGUUAAGCAACGUCGAACCUGAUCCGUACCAUGGGUGAACUGUUGGGAAUACCAGGUGCUGUAA